UUCCUGGUGGCUCAGACCAUAAAGCGUCUGCCUGCAAUGCAGGAGACCCAGGUUCAAUCCUGAGUCAGGAAG
rnacentral:tRNA from 1 species